AAUAGAUACCCGGGUAGUCCACGCCGUAAACGAUGAGUGCUAGGUGUUGGGGGGACCCCCUCAGUGCCGCAGGUAACCCAAUAAGCACUCCGCCUGGGGAGUACGGUCGCAAGACUGAAACUCAAAGGAAUUGACGGGGGCCCGCACAAGCGGUGGAGCAUGUGGUUUAAUUCGAAGCAACGCGAAGAACCUUACCAGGGCUUGACAUCCCGCUGACCGGUGUAGAGAUACGCCUUUCCCCUUCGGGGGACAGCGGUGACAGGUGGUGCAUGGUUGUCGUCAGCUCGUGUCGUGAGAUGUUGGGUUCAGUCCCGCAACGAGCGCAACCCUUGUUUCUAGUUGCCAGCACUUCGGGUGGGCACUCUAGAGAGACAGCCGGUGAAAGCCGGAGGAAGGUGGGGAUGACGUCAAAUCAUCAUGCCCCUUAUGUCCUGGGCUACACACGUGCUACAAUGGCUGGUACAAAGGGCAGCGAACCCGCGAGGGGGAGCCAAUCCCAAAAAACCAGUCUCAGUUCGGAUUGCAGGCUGCAACUCG
rnacentral:rRNA from 1 species